GUAUAUAUGUUUUACAGGCAUGCAAUAUGCCUAACUAUCACAUUCUGAUACUUUAUAUGGAGUAUAUGAAAAACAUAGACCUGAAAGGUGAAGAAAAGCCGGCAUUAUACACGGCAGUUCCUCCGACCGAGUCAACCUCGAGAGGUAUUCAGAUCUACACAAAGUGCACAGGUGGUUAUAAAGUCGGAAUAGGCGUGCACAUGCCCCAAAGAGCCAGCAACAACCUAAACCAAGUUUAUUCGAUAAUGAUCCUUCCGCAGGUUCACCUACGGAAA
rnacentral:misc_RNA from 1 species